rnacentral:rRNA from 1 species
GAUGAACGCUGGCGGCGUGCCUAAUACAUGCAAGUCGAGCGAACAGACGAGGAGCUUGCUCCUCUGACGUUAGCGGCGGACGGGUGAGUAACACGUGGAUAACCUACCUAUAAGACUGAGAUAACUUCGGGAAACCGGAUCUAAUACCGGAUAAUAUAUUGAACCGCAUGGUUCAAUAGUGAAAGACGGUUUUGCUGUCACUAAUAGAUGGAUCCGCGCCGCAUUAGCUAGUUGGUAAGGUAACGGCUUACCAAGGCGACGAUGCGUAGCCGACCUGAGAGGGUGAUCGGCCACACUGGAACUGAGACACGGUCCAGACUCCUACGGGAGGCAGCAGUAGGGAAUCUUCCGCAAUGGGCGAAAGCCUGACGGAGCAACGCCGCGUGAGUGAUGAAGGUCUUCGGAUCGUAAAACUCUGUUAUUAGGGAAGAACAAAUGUGUAAGUAACUAUGCACGUCUUGACGGUACCUAAUCAGAAAGCCACGGCUAACUACGUG